GAUGAACGCUGGCGGCGUGCCUAAUACAUGCAAGUCGAGCGAACGGACGAGAAGCUUGCUUCUCUGAUGUUAGUGGCGGACGGGUGAGUAACACGUGGAUAACCUACCUAUAAGACUGGGAUAACUUCGGGAAACCGGAGCUAAUACCGGAUGAUAUUUUGAACCGCAUGGUUCAAUAGUGAAAGACGGUCUUGCUGUCACUUAUAGAUGGAUCCGCGCUGCAUUAGCUAGUUGGUAAGGUAACGGCUUACCAAGGCAACGAUGCGUAGCCGACCUGAGAGGGUGAUCGGCCACACUGGAACUGAGACACGGUCCAGACUCCUACGGGAGGCAGCAGUAGGGAAUCUUCCGCAAUGGGCGAAAGCCUGACGGAGCAACGCCGCGUGAGUGAUGAAGGUCUUCGGAUCGUAAAACUCUGUUAUUAGGGAAGAACAUAUGUGUAAGUAACUGUGCACAUCUUGACGGUACCUAAUCAGAAAGCCACGGCUAACUACGUG
rnacentral:rRNA from 1 species